AGACAGACUGGUACCUGGAGGUGGCUGAGCACGGUCCACGCUGCAGGAAGUAGGGAGACGAAACUGAAUCCCUGCAAGGAGCAAACACCAGUUAGAAAGGACAAAUGCAGCCAAUGAGAAGAAAAGUUUGCUGCCCUCUUGGAAAUGUUGUGGCAGGGAAGUUGGAUCAAGAAUAGGAUUGUGAUACUGCUCCUGGUGUUUGUAAGACAGUGGGAGCAGGGUUGGAGGGAGAGGCUUUUGCAGAGACCACUCAGGAGGAGUGAUGUUCUGCCAGUGCUGCCUCAAUUCUCACUCAGUCCUUCCAGGAUUCUGCGGCCUUUUUUUUGAGAUGCCUGAUUUUGCAGGAGCUUUUGUAAAAAAUUGCAAUAAAAGUUGUGAUGUCUUUUGUA